UACGUAGGGACCAAGCGUUGUUCGGAUUUACUGGGCGUAAAGGGCGCGUAGGUGGCGUCGCAAGUCAACGGUGAAAGCUCGACGCUCAACGUCGAGUCGGCCGUCGAGACUGCGAGGCUUGAGCACUGUAGAGGCAGGCGGAAUUCCGGGUGUAGCGGUGGAAUGCGUAGAGAUCCGGAAGAACACCGGUGGCGAAGGCGGCCUGCUGGGCAGUUGCUGACACUGAGGCGCGACAACGUGGGGAGCAAACAGG
rnacentral:rRNA from 1 species